rnacentral:rRNA from 1 species
GACGAACGCUGGCGGCGUGCUUAACACAUGCAAGUCGUACGGUAAGGCCCUUUCGGGGGUACACGAGUGGCGAACGGGUGAGUAACACGUGAGUAACCUGCCCACAACUUUGGGAUAACGCUAGGAAACUGGUGCUAAUACUGGAUAUGUGCUCCUGCUGCAUGGUGGGGGUUGGAAAGCUCCGGCGGUUGUGGAUGGACUCGCGGCCUAUCAGCUUGUUGGUGGGGUAGUGGCCUACCAAGGCGGCGACGGGUAGCCGGCCUGAGGGGGUGACCGGCCACAUUGGGACUGAGAUACGGCCCAGACUCCUACGGGAGGCAGCAGUGGGGAAUAUUGCACAAUGGGCGCAAGCCUGAUGCAGCAACGCCGCGUGCGGGAUAACGGCCUUCGGGUUGUAAACCGCUUUCAGCAGGGACGAAGCUUUUUGUGACGGUACCUGCAGAAGAAGCACCGGCUAACUACGUG